AAAAAAUACUUUUUUAAAAAAAGGUGGUAUGCCACACAAGGGACAAGGCUUUUGCUAACACUCCACUCUGGCCCAGUGGGUGGAGCUUGAUAGUAACCCUUGCCACAGAU
rnacentral:snoRNA from 1 species